CAGAAGAGAGACUUUAAAGGCUGUGCAGAGAAGCCUGAGGCUUCAAUUGGUCCUAUGGUUGAUGACACUGUGCCUACAGCAGAGCCAUAGGCUUGCCAGGGGACAGUGGUGAUGCUGAGGAACUGGUGGAGGAACGCUCAGAGGAACCUCAGCAACUUCCGGCUGAGCAACAGAGAACCGCAGCUGUGGAGCUUUGUGAAGAGGAGGGGGAGAAUCAACAGUCAAUGCACCAAAGCCAUUCUGAAAUCAAGGAAAUCCUGAAAAAAUGGACAGAGCGACAAACAUUUAUAGAGAAGACCAAGCUGGACAGAGAAAGCCAACAUUGCGCUCACCUGUUCAAUGACAAGGUCAUGUCAUACGGCAGAGGAGUGUUAAAGAAAAGACAGAAACAGACAAUCUUAGACCAGUUUUUAGUUCGGAAAAGUAGUGACCUAGUGAGCCCGAAGCAGGUCCUAGUGGGCUACAGACUCCCCCAAGGACAGAAAGGACACAGAGAGCCAAUUCCUGCUGUUCUUAAGGAAGGGGCCUCUCCUUCCAGACAACAGUCACUUUCCACUUCACCCUCCCCUCCUGUAAGCAGUGUGUGUCAGCUUGAACGGUUUCCUCAGACCCAGCACAGAACAGAGGCUCAGAAAAGUUGCCGAAGAUGAUGUGACCUCCAAGCUGUCACUGAGAGACACCUGGAACUAAGGGCCAAUUUCAGGGCAAGGGCAGGCUGGAACGAGUGCGGCGGUCAUCUGUGCAACGGUAGCCGAGGCCACCCAGGAUGCCCGGCUCACAGACAGGUGGGGAGCUGGGGAAGGGGUGCACCGGGCAGGCCCCUGGGGGUGCCUGGGAGACAGUGAGGGAAGACCCAGGACGAAGACUCCCUGGGUUCAAUCCCAGCAACUGAAGGGAGGAGCAGGCAGCCUCCUGCUCCCGCCCUGCUCUUUGCCUGUCCGUGUGACCCCCCACGUCCACCUCCCACACUGUCCUGCAGUGAUCCCUCUUACUCCGGAGUGAGGCGCGUCCUAGGUGGUGGGAUGGGGCUUAUGGUACAAAGGAAAGCUUUAAACUCUGAAGGGGUGGUGAGGGCAGAUGGUGGGAGCUUCUCUGCAGGCCACUUCCACGCCCAGGUCCCAAGCCCAGGCCUGGGGCUCCCUCCCCCCACCCCCACAGAUCUCCACUGGGGGUGAGGACGAGGGCUGGACCGCGGCGGCGUUUCUGAAGGGAGCCUUUUCAUCUGCUUGUCCGUAGGCUUCGAGCCGAGCUCUAACACGGAAUUAAGGAAGAUACUGAAACUAAGGUUUUCAGCUUCAGUAGAAAGCAUUCACCAAGCAGCCCUUACAGCCAGGAUUAUGCGGGAAAGAGCGCAGCUGCUCUCUGGGUUCACCUUUGCAGCCAGGGGCUGUGGGAGAGAGGCCGUCAGGGCAGGUUCUGGGCAGCAGGGCCCUGGGCCAGGUCCCACUGGCCGUCGGCUUAAUUUCUGGUCCUGCUUGGCCUUACCUGUGGCGCUGAUCAUUACCACUGGGCUACAACUCCUGGUCCCUCGUGUGUCUUUGAGGCCAUCUCCCUCAUCUCCCUGGCAACGCGCGGGAGGAUAGGGAGGCUGAGAGUAGGGGCUCCCUGCUGGGGAGAGGAGCCACUCGCUGGCCAGGGGCCCGCAGACACCUGUGUCCUCCGGGGAUGCCGCACUUCGCGGUAGAGGCCUCUACAGGAGCAGAGGGGAAAGGUAGGAAGGUGACCAGGUCCUGAUUGCUGGGUCUUGCUCUUACUGCAGUCAUUCAUUCGUCUCCAGGGGGGUGGGCACUGGGAGAGCACGACAGAGCUCCCCACUUCCUGCGUAUCAGCAGCUGACCACGCUGGCAGGGACGCCACCCGCUGUGGCCAGAAGAGAAGCCUGGACGUUCAAGGAACUGGAAGAGGUGACCUGGACUCAGGAAGAAGACGCCGUGUGGCUCGGCGUCCCCCAGCCUCCCAUCCACCUGGCGGCGCCUGACGUGGGCCUGGGUGCCCGAGGAGCAGGGGCGGUAGAGCUGUGGGGAGAACAAGCAGCUCCGCGCAGGGCGCCGGGCGGGGCGGGGUUGACCCUUCGCCGGGCAGCACAGUCCAGGCUUUAGUAGAUGGAUGAGGGAGGCCGAGGGCGAGAUGGAGCAAAACCAUGGUUUCAGGAGAGCCAGGAGUCGCGGGGUGCAGUCGCCGGGCUGCUCCCCGGGGAAAUCGGGUCGCCCUCCAGGUGGAGGCAAGGAGGAGCUGCAGACUCCGAAACCCAAGCCGGCUGCUCCUGCGUCCCCUCCAGGUCCCACUGGGGCGGUCACCUCCCGGAGCUGGGCGCAGGGACCCACGGCUGUGAGCGGGGAGGGGCCCCUCCCCACCUGUGGGAGUGAUCGUCCCUAAUGAGGGCGCCGCGGGCCAUGUUAGAGGGCUCCCCUAGACUUCCCAGUGGUAAUUAGCAGAGGGGAGUCCCUGUGGGCCAGAAGAGGCUCCCCCACCCCCCACGUUGUCCCCAGGGCUCCAUCUCGGUGCCCGCAGGGGAGGUUGAUGUUUAGGAUUUAGGACUCCAGAGGCAGAGGUGGGUUUGGGUUUUGUUAUUGGCUGUUGGCUGGGUUUUUCGUUUUAAAAGUUAAGUCCAGACUCAGGAAACUCAACAGCUAGGGGCUAGGGUGAGGGGUCCCGCAGCCCCUGCCACGGGGCAUGUGACAGCAGCUGCCACACGCCACCAUCUGCCCAGACAGCAAGAGCCGGGCCUCUGCUUCCCUCAGGCUACUCACACCCAGAUGUCUCCUGUGCCCAGGCCAUCGGUCUCCACGAACCUGUCUGGGGUCCUGCUGGCGCCUGGCACCUCCUUUGUGAGACAGGGCCUGUCCCCAAUGGAGGAGGACGCGGAGAGACCCCCGGCCUGAGGAAGCCCAGCCAGAGCAGAGAACCCGGCAGGUCCACGUCAGGCAGAGGGCAGGGACUGGGAUAGGUGCGCCACUUUCUGCACGUGGGACACCCAAAGUAGCAAACAAUGACCAGCGGCCCUGCUGUUGGACUCCAGGUGGAGUCAGGGUUGGGAGGCCUGUGUGUGGCAGCCUGGCCCUUCCUGUCCGUGACGGUGCUGCCCUAGGAGCGAGAGCCAGGCUGAGUGGGUGGUGGGCAGGGGUCGGCUGGGACCACCGCAUGAGCAUGGAGGGGCUUCGGAGCAGGGCUGGGUCCUCACGUAAACACAGCUAUGGGAGAGCCUCAUAGAUACUGGGUUUAGUGACGGGGUCCGCUUUAUUUUGUAUAGUACUUCCUGUGACUACCGUCGUGGGUUACUUAAUUUUAAUUUUCCUGUAUUCGUGUCUCAGAUGGGAACUAUGUCUCACACAUCUCUAUAUCCUCAACAGCGGAUAUAACCGGGGCUUUAAAGCACGACUGAACAACACACUCCCCUCAUCUGCUGAUCAUACAAAUAAACUGGCACAGACAGAG